AUGCUUAUUGAUAUUGCAAUUGAGUUUGUAAAGGGCUUGAUUUCCUUCUUCACUAUGUAUAGAGAAACUAGCUUUUCAAAAGCAUUGGAAGGUGCAAAAAAAGCAAUGGAGAUGAAUAUUAAUCCAGAGUUCCGCAAGCGUAAAAUUAAGAGAAAAAGGCAAUAUGAUGAGGGCGCAGAUGAUCCAUCUAGUGUUUCACAAUUAGCAGAGGAGUCAUUUAUGGUCAAUUAUUUUUUCAUAUUAUUAAUCAAGCUAUAG
rnacentral:rRNA from 1 species